CCGCCUUUGGUUACCGAGUCAGUCUAGCAUUUUAAUUACUCCCAAAACCGUGUGUAACAGAGGAGUCAGUCUAGGACCGCCGCAUCCUUAUCGGCGUGUUUCUUCUCCCUCUGUCUCGAUCUCUUCGCCUCCGUUUCCUCGUGGCGCACCACACCUUUGUCGUCCACCGUCUCCCCAUCCCCCGGUCCCUCCUGUGGUGUGCCUUGCUGCGGGCUCAGAUCUUGGAGACGACAAACAACCCACCGACGCGAUGCGUCGUGCCCAAAGAAAUCGUCGGCAGUGCCAACUUAUAGCCAUCGCCUGUGUGGAAGGUGUGAGGAUUCCCGAUCUGAUGUUGGGAAGCAAAAUUUGGCAAUUUUUCUGUUGUUCUUCCUGGGUUCCAUAGUAUUCACAUCAGUCGUGUGACCAUGCUCCAGAGGAUUUGCUAAUAAAGUUUCACCAAUGGAAAAUCAAUUUGCGGGAGCGCUCCUUUAUCCGUGUUGGACAUGGUGAAUUAGGAGGAGGCUUUGAUGUCUUCAGGUCGAUCAAAGCUGUGGUGCCAUCUCCGACCGUCUAGCGCCUCCACCAUAUACAUCGUCGUAGCGUCUAAUCGAUGCAUCAGGGGAAACCCCCCGACUUUAUUCCUUCUCCAGGGCCUAAGAAGACCUCGCAGAUGAGCAGUUUUCUUUCAAGAAUCAAGAUUACCAAGCACAAUGCAAGUCAAUAUACAAAUAAUUAUGUUUCAACUCAUGUAUGCCUCAAGUGUUGGUUACAUGUUGUCAUGAAAAUAGUAGCUACAUGGAUCAUCAGAUUAAGGUAAAUACAUAUCUCAAUACAUCAUUUGGUCAUUAUAAUUUCUAAUUGUUGCUUUGUUAGGAGUAGGAAAUAAAAAAGUGUCCUACUUCUACUAUGUACGGAGGCUUCUUCCUGCAUUUGAUAUUUCAAGCCCCUGUGUUUGCAUUCUAAUUCAUUCCCCUUCCUUCACUGUUGUUCAUCAGGAUGGUCCCAUCUUCCUACCUCUUUGUUUCAGUUCAACCUUCUGACCACAGGCAUUCCUACCCCACAGUAGUAGGCACUCGUGAUAUCUUCUUGCUGCAUUCCCUAUUCUACUGCAGAGAUUGACGCUAUACUUUGUAUGAUGAGAUAAACCUUUCAAGAGUUUUAUGGUUAAUAUAGUCGCUUUGUGAUCAUCUCUAUUCUGCAAUCUGGAUGUUCUAGCAAUAACAUGGUUUGCUCCUUUGUUCUUGCAUUGCAGGUAUACAAUUCAUUAUAGGCAUUCUUUUAUAUUUUAUCCAAAUCAAUAUAAUCUCACACAACACUGACGUCCGACGACCUCUCUGCUCCUGAAUCGGAAUCAAACACGUACACGUUGCAUUCCGGGCAUUCUUUUAUAUUAUCCCCAUACCAAUAUGAGCUCACACAACAUUGAUGGCUGACAGCCUUCUCUGCCCUUGGAUUAGGAUCCCACAUAUGACUGAUGGGUGAAGAUUUUCUUUUUGCUAAUCUUGAAUCGAGCUAAUUUUUAUCAUUGCAGAAUUUCAGUCACUUAUAGGAAGACACUUCAACUUAUCCACCAGAGUUAAUCAGAAGUACUUGCGUUGCACAAUACAACAAAUCAUUUCGUGUCAUUCCAGAAUAAAUUGUAUGUAAUACAUAUUUUGCUCGCCCCUUUUAUCGUGUGUAAUUCUGCACAUGUUUGUAUCUCGAGCACAUGAUUUUUGUUAUACAAAUAUGUCACUACAUUUUGGGA